rnacentral:tRNA from 1 species
GUUCUUAUAGUUGAUAAACAACGAUGAUUUUUCAUAUCAUUAGUCAUGGUGAAUACCCAUGUGAGAAUU